UAGAAAAUAGGUAAAAGAAUACCAUGAAAAUUUGAAUUUCAAAUUGAGAGGUCAAUCUCUCUUUUCUAA
rnacentral:tRNA from 1 species